AGAGGGAGAGCGAAUAUUUCAAAGAGACCUAUCUUUUCGGCCCCCCUCCUUUCAGAUGUUUUAAAUAUAUAUAUAUUUAUAGUAUUGCAUAAAUUUGAUUUUUGUUUUACAUCGUCCAAAGCCAGCUUAAAAAAAAAAAAAAAAAGUCAAAAAAUAACAAAAAGAAGUGACGUCACCCAAAUUGCUGCCCCAGAUUUUGCCUGCGAGGAAAAAAGAAGCAAGGCAAAUAAGAUGGCAACAGCUUUAUUUCCAGGGUAAAGGCCGGGCUGCAUUAACACAGCCCAGCUCUGUCAGGCCAUGGUUUAGCGGACAGUGCCGGUGCAGCUGGUCUGCACAUCAGCACUCUCCCUCGCUGGCACUGAUGUGAGAACACAGGGACCUGACACUUCUAUUGGGCAGCAGGCAGGAAUUAUUCUGCCAGCUGGCAGCUGUUGCCAGAAGCUGCAGCCUUUCUCUUGAACCAGCAGCCCUCCCUCGCAGAACCACCACUGCUCACUCCAGCAGACGAGCACAGCACGAAAAUUAGCUGGUUUUUUAUUGUUUAAAGUGUAAUUUCAGGGGGGGGGGUGCGGGAAGCGAGAAGCGGGAGAUCCUCUGUGGCAGCUGCACUGUUAACAAGGAUGUUUAUGUGCAUUUAAUUAAAAAAAAAAAAAUCCUGAAACAAAACAAAACUGGCAGAUGUAAAGCUUCCAAAAACGUGUUAAAUGAUUACCCAGGACGGGAAAAGCCAGGCAUGCAGUACCUGGGACGGGUGCCAGCUGCCGACAAAAGACUCCAGCGCACGCUCAGGAGGAACGUUCUCAUUCCUCUUCUAGAGAAGUGAUCACUUAGAGUAGCUCAGCUUUAAAAUCUGCAGCACGGCUCCGGCGAACACGGGGCACAGAAACGUGUUGUGGAGUCCGCGCCCAAGCGCCGCCAUGACCCCUGUCAGCUUCAGCCAGCAGAGAUCCCCGCCCGAGCACUUCAAAAGCUGCACAGAUUUAUCAUCUACUUCCUGCCUCUCCUCAGAUGAACUUGUCAUUUUUUUUUUUUAUUAUGUUCAGGCUUGCCUGGCUUCCCGCUUGUGUGUCAGGCAAUCAGGGCUUGUCUGGUCAGACAAAAACACAGCCGCACUCCACUCGACAGAGAGCUUAACCACGUACACCAGACUUUGAACUGCAGCAAAGUUAUACUUUAAUGAACAGCAAUGAAGUCGAUCUGUAUUAUUUUUUCUUAUUAUCCAGCACUAAACAGCACCACAAAACCCGACUGGUGUUCUGAAAAGCCUGCUGAUCACUGAAGGAAAGCAGAAAAAGUUUGCUUUGCUCAAAAACACUCCACAGCUGUAUUUUAAUUUCAACAACAAAAAAAAAAGAAAGAAAGAAAGAAAGGCAGAGUCUCAUUUCACCCUCGCUCGCUCACAUGCCCGCUGUGCUCAGUGGCGACACUCUGCACAAUCACAGUUUCGCACAGCUAGUGUGUUCCUGGUAUCGGAUUGCGUUCCGUUGUGGAAUAUUAUAUAUCAGUGCAUUAUAACUGCCAGGUAAUUGUUUGGAAACUACACUGGUGUGAAGAGUGAAGUCAGGUCAAGUCUGUACAGAUCAGUUCAGCAGCCAUGACGUGCGUUUCUCGGCCCUGCAUAUGAAGUGGAGAAACAGUGGCGAGGAAAAGGGCUUGUGAUUCUGGGUUUUCCACAGACUUGUGUUCUUGCCCUACAUGCAGCCAUUGCAAAGACUAUUCUUAUCAUUCCUGAGUGAUCCAACAGGAACCGCAUUACAAUGGGGGCACUUCAACAUUUUCAACAGGUCAAGACCACACCGCCCUGCUAGAAAGAGAACACACCACCGUUUCUGAUUUAAAAACAGCAAUCAGCAAUUCAAUCAAACCACCAGCAGCCAAAUAUCAGCAUUACACCUUAAACAGCACACGAGCAGAGAGCUUUCGGUCUCUGCUGUCCUGGCAGUUCAUAUAGAGUUCUUGUUUAUAGGGGUGGAUAUCAUUCUCACUCCUCUCUCUACCCCCCUGUCAGAGCUACAGUACUGAAUCCUCAGGAGACCACAGGCUGAAGUCAAACGAGGUCACUGUCAGACUAGCUUCCUGUUACAAUCCUUUUUUUUUUUUGCAAGUAGGGCGUUCGCUGUACAGCAACACGAUGACACGGAUCUAACUAGACCAUGUGAAUCAGAUCAUUCACACGGAGAACACGAAGAGCACAGCUCCGUUUAGAGCCUCGUUCGUGCCCAGGGUGGAGGGCAUCAUUUGGAAGAAUUUGGAAAGAAUCGAAAGCCCACUUGGUCAGACCUCCCCCUUUGAAAAGCAAACACCCCGUGGAAGCCCAGCCCAGCAGGGAGAGGAAAGCACACUUCUCUGCCCACAAAAGCAGCUGUGUAAUGGCGGCGCGGAACGCAGCCCAGUGAGAACGGGUUUCAGGGCGCGCUUUGAAAGAGGAAUGGGCUCUUGCUGGGCUGGGUUGGCUCAGCUGUGAUGCUGUCCUUGGGGCUGAGGUAGUAGAUUGAAUAGUUGUGGCGUGUGAGUCGUCCCUCUGAGAUAACUAUACAAUCUACUGUCUUUCCUAAGGAGACAGUCGAAUCACCUGCCAAUGAAGAAGGAAUUCACAGCUCGUCGCGUUUCAGUCAAUGCAGUCUCGUCUUAUUGCUUUGUAACUGAACUUUGAAUCUAUCGUUACUUUGAGACGGGGGGGGGGGUCUUUUGUAAUGAUGUGACCCGCAGGGGCUCGCGUGAACCCCUUUAUUCUCAGAACGGGGGUCUUUAAAUCCCCUACGGUACAGAGGGAUGACCACUUAGUUCAAGGAUCGUUAAAAGCAAUGAACUGUAAAUCCUCUGUAUACCAGAAUUCCUAUAUGUGAAGCCUCGUCUACAGCGAUCAUAAUAACUAGCCUAUUACAGAGCUCCUCCUUUCUACCAUGGAGCCGUGCAUAAUGCAGCAUGGCUGGAGCGCCCCUUUGCCUCAGUGCCAGUACACUAGCACUUUCAUUCUUCUAACUGGGGCUCCCCAGCUACAGUGAUAUAAAGCAGGAGCAUUGUAACCUGUUAAUACUCACAGCAACACUCUGACUUGUUCAUCAUUUCCACUUCAAUUGCAGGGGAGGCGGUUAAUGAUUCCCAACUCGAUUUCAAGUUGUUUAAAAGGAAUGUUACAGACAACACAGAAUGUUAACUGUUUCUAAAUAUAUAUAAAAAAAUAAAAAUAAAAAAAAACAGCGAAGCGUUAAUAGUUACUAAACCAAACCAACCAAGGCAGAUACAAAGAGCUACGUGUAUCUGAGCAUCAAGUGGGAGCCCAGAGGGACAGAAUAGAAAUGCUGCUUUUCUUGCAGGCAGUCUGAGGGCACGAGGGCAGCUACACUGGGUUGAGACGGCUCCCUGGUAACACCUGUGGUGUGUUGAUGCUUCCGCUAGGAGUUCUUCUAACGCACUGCUGUUGGGAAGGGGCAGUCCUUGACUCCCCCUGAAAGCAGGGACCCAGUGGACGAGCACGCGAAGGACGCAUCGGGCAGCGUCCAGGACGGAAGGAAGGUGUGGAGGCUGCAGUGUUCCCGCGGGGUGAGGUAGUAGGUUGUAUAGUUUGGUGGGAGGGAUAGUAUCCCAUUCAGGUGAUAACUAUACAGACUAUUGCCUUCCUUGAGGAGCUCACACGCACACAGAGCAGCAGCGUCAGCAAGGGAACGAGGAGGAAGGAGGCCGCCUCCGGCACAGGACAACUCUCAUUGCUAUAAUGUUAUUAUAAUGAUUAUUGUAUUUACAACGUGUACUGCAAUGCAAGGCAGAAUAAAUAAAUAUAUAAACA